GGCGUGGUAGCCAAACGGUCAGGCAGCGGUCUGCAAAAUCGCAUAAAUCGGUUCAACUCCGAUCCACGCCUCCA
rnacentral:tRNA from 1 species